CUCUCAGAGUACAAUAUAAGAUACAUUAAAAGCUUUAGACAAACAAAAGCAUGGCUACUAUCAAUACUGACACUCGUUAUCAUAUUUAAAAAUCUGGGCACAAACACAUUCAAUAUUCAACACUAAUUAUAAAAUGUAAUUUUUUCCCGUACCUAUAUAGUACUAAGAUUUUGGUACCCCCCUAGAGGUUCUGUUGUUUUUCUCGUACCCCCCUCAGAGGUUCUGGAUUUUUUUCGUACCCCCAAAAAAUAUCCUCCACACCCCCUAGUAAAUACUUUAUGACCGGUCCCUUAACAGUAAUCAAUCCAAAAGCACCGCGAGUCUGCUGC